rnacentral:tRNA from 1 species
AGUCCUGAGGUGUAAUCACAUUAAAUUGCAAAUUUAAAGUAGCAGGUUAAAACCCUGCCGGGGCUU